GACGAACGCUGGCGGCGUGCUUAACACAUGCAAGUCGAACGGAAAGGCCCUGCUUUUGUGGGGUGCUCGAGUGGCGAACGGGUGAGUAACACGUGAGUAACCUGCCCUUGACUUUAGGAUAACUUCAGGAAACUGGGGCUAAUACCGGAUAGGAGCUCCUGCUGCAUGGUGGGGGUUGGAAAGUUUCGGCGGUUGGGGAUGGACUCGCGGCUUAUCAGCUUGUUGGUGGGGUAGUGGCUUACCAAGGCUUUGACGGGUAGCCGGCCUGAGAGGGUGACCGGCCAAAUGGGGAAUGAGAUACGGCCCAGACCCCUACGUGGGGAAGGAGGGGGGAAUAUUGCAAAAGGGGGGGAAGCCUGAUGCAGAAACGCCGGGGGGGGGAUGACGGCCUUGGGGUUGUAAACCGCUUUCGCAGGGGACGAAGCGGGAGUGACGGUAAGGGGAAAAGAAGCACCGGCUAAAUACGU
rnacentral:rRNA from 1 species